rnacentral:rRNA from 1 species
CCCUUAGAUGUUCUGGGCUGCACGCGCGCUACACUGAUGCGUUCAACAAGUUGGACCUCGUCCGAGAGGAAAUCGGGGGAAUCUUUUGAAAACGUAUCGUGAUGGGGAUAGAUUAUUGUAAUUAUUAAUCUUCAACGAGGAAUUCCUAGUAAGCAUGAAUCAUCAGCUCGUGCUGAUUACGUCCCUGCCCUUUGUACACACCGCCCGUCGCUACUACUGAUUGGAUGUUUAAGCGAGGUUCUCGAACUGCUAGCGACUUAGCUUCGGUGAGGUCGCAGUGUGGGAAGUGAACCUAGCUUUGGUGUCUAGAGGAAGUAAAAGUCGUAACA